UCAGCCUUUCGAAAUGAGCAGUUUUUUUUUUUUUUUUUUUGCAAACCAAGAUUGUUUGAAUUGAUUGGGAUUUUCGGGCUAUGCACAACUAUCAGCCUUGCUUUGUUUUUAGUUUACCCUGAAUUCGGUUCGGAAUGAGCAAUUUUGAUCAACAAAGGAUUUUGGAUGCAUAGUACACGGAAAAUUGGGGGGAAAUCCGCGCCCAAUGAUUGGUUCAGUCUUUUCUUGUUCCAUUUUAGUCAGUCUACAGCGAUGCAUAGUUUUUAGUUCUUUAGUUGAAAAAAAUAUUGUGAGUUUUUUUCUUUCUUUGUUUUGUUUUGCUUUUAGUUUUUGUGACAUAGGUAGCUCAAAUUGGCUGCAACCUUGCACCUACCGCGAGUGCAAUUCUAGCUUACCAUAUGUUUGAAAUGAGCUAAUUAAUUCAACUAGGGCUGUCGCGCAGAUUGUAACGUAGCUUAUUGCCUGAGAAAGGAACAAAUCGGAUGAACUAG